AUGGUAAUAGCUGACUACGGGAGCUUAUGAGUACACCUAAAAAAUAUAAUGUUGCCCCUUGCUUCUUCUCUGUUUGCACAGGCUGGGAUCAGAACUGGGGUACUGAAAUAGAUCCUGGAUUCCCAAAAAGAGAUGAAGAAGCUGCCAUCAGCUGGAAGCUUGUGAGCCUUUGAACCUCUUCUUGCUCCCAGAUUCACUUCCAGAGGACACUUCUGGGGGAAGAAUGGUGUUUUCUCUAACCCCAUGAUCUCUCUUGUCUAAACUCAGCACUUUUGAAUCCUUUGAUGACCUUGCCAAAAAACACUUAAGUGGAGUCACUUCUCUGAGACCACCACUGCAGUCUUGUAAGGGAGUCAACAGACUUGGCAGGUUUUUUCCCCUAACAAAUGCAUUGUGAGCAUUCCAUGAGAAGUCAAAGGCUGCUUGAGAAGAUAGAACCUGAUGCACUUUACGUAUGAUGUCAAUGUGAUCAGUCUUAGCAAGAGGUUCUUUCUGAGAGAUAUUUCAAAUGUACUAUAGGCAGUUAGGAAAGAAGAAUGUAUUUUCCACUGAAAAUUAAUUUUAUUUCAUUUUAAAAGGCCAAAAUACAUUUGUGGCUUUACUAUUCUUGAGAAUUCUGCUCCAAACAGAGGUUUCCAGCUUAUUUCCAGCCCAUCAACUCCCACUGAUGCAAUGUGGGUUGUUUACACUUCCUACUGGGAAUCUUAAUAUUUUCACUGUCUUCAAAAAUCACCUUUGUGCAGCUGAGGUGUUUUUCAAAAUUCAAGCAAAACCCAAGAGACCACUUUAGAAUUCCAAAUUUCCUACAUUCUUAUCAGCUUUUUUUCUUCUUGGUCCUGGUUUGCACUUAUCUUUAUUCUCAACUUGUUCCUUAGACAGCAUACUCUUUAAGAAGAUUUUGGCAUAAAAUACAGCUGAGAAGGAAAUAAUGUAUAUUAAAAAUAGCAGGGAUUCCACAUACAUGAAAGGCCUGCACUCACUUGUUUUUAGGUGCAUUUACAUUUAUUCUUCACUCCAAGAUGUAGAAGCUUUUAUGAAAUACAAAAUAAAAAAAGAAAAAAUCACAGCAUAUGAACUUACAAGACACCUUUAACUGCCUGUACCCCUACUAGGUCUCAUAUCAGGCUAUUCCCUAUAAAGACUAAAUGGAUUUUUUUCCUUUGUAUUUUCCUUAAUACCUCAUUUCAACUCACCAUGAGAAAAAUGAAAAAUGUUAUGUUAGUACCUCCAAGUCAUCAGAUUAGAGUCUGUCA